ACGAGAAGACCCCAUGGAGCUUCAAACCCAACUACACCCCUAGCUCUUAUAGCCCCACAACCCCCCUAGGCACCGUGUGCUUGGUUUUAGGUUGGGGCGACCGCGGAGUACAAUAAAACCUCCACAAUGAAUGGGAACACCCCCUUAUCUGAGGGCCACACCCCCUAAGAAUUAGAACACUAACAUAAAAUGAUCCAUUACUUGAUCAAUGAACCAAGUUACCCUGGGGAUAACAGCGCAAUCCAUUUCAAGAGCCCCUAUCGACAAAUGGGUUUACGACCUCGAUGUUGGAUCAGGGUACCCCAGUGGUGCAGCAGCUACUAACGGUUCGUUUGUUCAACGAUUAAAACCCU
rnacentral:rRNA from 1 species